GACAAUUUUCGCUUUAAGAAGUUUAUAUUUCGAGUAGCUUUUUGCUAAAUGAUAAAUAUUUAGUUAGCUUAAUACUCGUAGCCAAGACUGGGAGGUUUAUUGGUCACAGUGUGGCAUGAAUAAAGCCCACGGUUAACUACAGCAGUGAGGAAUAUUGGUCAAUAGCCUAACGGCUGAACCGGCAACUUGGAGGAAUGUAUAGGGAAAACUGGUAAAAUGUGAUGUACCUAGUAAUAUUAGUGAUUAAUAUGAGGCUAACCGAGUUAGUUAAAAUUCUAAGUAUAUAUGUGAUUAUGACAAUAUGUGCUUAUUUCUUGACCAAGUCACGUGCCAGCCGUCGCGGUAAUACGUGGAAGAUCAGUGUUAUUCAUCUUUAUCAGGUUUAAAGGGUACCUAGACGGUUAAUUAAGCUUUAGUAGGAACUAAUUAACUAGAGUUUAAUGUAAGAAUGAUUGAGUACGGUGAGUGUAGAGAUAAAAUUCUGUCAUACCACUUAGGAACUGGUAAAAGCGAAGGCAACUUUCUAUGUAAAAACUGACGUUAAGGGACGAAGGCUCGUAUCAAAUAACAGGAUUAGAUACCCCAGCAUUGUGGGCAGACAAUGAUGAGUGUCAUAUGCAAGAGAUAAAUAUAUAAAAAAAUAUUUUGUGUAUAAAUGAAAGUGUAAGCACUCCACCUCAAGAGUAACGUGGCAACAUGGGAACUGAAAUCAUUAGACCGUUUCUGAAACUCGUAGUGAAGUAUGUUGUUUAAUUAGAUGGUGCACAAAUAACCUUACCACAAUUUGUAUAACUAUAGUACAUAAUAAUAAUAUAGUUACAAGCGUUGCACGGCUGUCUUUAGUCUAUGUUGUGAAACUGUGGUUAGAUCCAUUAAAUAGACGUAAACCCUUACUUUAUUUAUUAUAAAGUAGUUCGCCGCUAUAUUGGUAGUGAUAUAAGGGACUAGGACAAGUCAUCA
rnacentral:rRNA from 1 species